rnacentral:rRNA from 1 species
GACGAACGCUGGCGGCGUGCUUAACACAUGCCAGUCGAACGGAAAGGCCCUGCUUUUGUGGGGUGCUCGAGUGGCGAACGGGUGAGUAACACGUGAGUAACCUGCCCUUGACUUUGGGAUAACUUCAGGAAACUGGGGCUAAUACCGGAUAGGAGCUCCUGCUGCAUGGUGGGGGUUGGAAAGUUUCGGCGGUUGGGGAUGGACUCGCGGCUUAUCAGCUUGUUGGUGGGGUAGUGGCUUACCAAGGCUUUGACGGGUAGCCGGCCUGAGAGGGUGACCGGCAACAUUGGGACUGAGAUACGGCCCAGACUCCUACGGGAGGCAGCAGUGGGGAAUAUUGCACAAUGGGCGGAAGCCUGAUGCAGCAACGCCGCGUGCGGGAUGACGGCCUUCGGGUUGUAAACCGCUUUCGCCUGUGACGAAGCGUGAGCGACGGUAAUGGGUAAAGAAGCACCGGCUAACUACGUG